rnacentral:tRNA from 2 species
GGCCAGGUAGCCAAGCGGUAAGGCAAGGGUCUGCAAAACCCUUACACAGGGGUUCGAUUCCCCUCCUGGCCUCAA